rnacentral:lncRNA from 1 species
CUGUGAUAAGAUUGUCUUCAGUAGGGUCUUAACUGAUCCAAACUGUAGCGAAUGAUGAGUCUGGGAUAUGAUCUUUUGAUUAUAAUCCGCUUACUCUCGAGGGAUCGCAACCCCUCGUUUGUAAAUGUUUGACGCUAUAUGAAGACCAUUUUUAAUACAAUUGAAAAAUUUGAUCAAAGAAGUGAUCUUCAAAAGUUUCCCCGAAUAUUACAAGAAGCUCAUUAGCCACAAUGCACUUUUGCUUUCGCAUACGUAGUACGUAUACGAACCUAACCUCAGUUUGUCUUUUGUGUAUUGCGGUUGUUUAAUAAUUGUUUACGUUUCGCUUAUGUAUAUGAAUUAUUCGUUUUUGCAAGUAUAAAUAAAGUAUUACGAAUAACAUUAUUCCAAAUGUUCUAAUUUGCAAGGUCAUGUAAAAAAAAAUCAUCCUGGUAAGUAGAAAUGUUUCGUUAAUUUUAUUUCUAUUUAAUGUUACUUGCAAGUCAGUUUCAGGCGAGGCGGUUCAUCGUUCAAAUUUACUAAAGUUUAUUUUAUUUUUGCCUACAUUCUAAGUUAUUACUGAUGUAAAGAAGUAACACAAAUUAACAUUACAUUUCAUAAAUCGGGACUCAUUUUUUAAAUUCUUCACUAUAAAGAAGUUGAAGAAUAUGAAGUUGGCGUCUUCUCUAUUCGCCGUGAAUGAUAGCUUGCGUUAUCCAUAACCACCACCGAAUUAGCCGGAAGAAAUUUUAUCAUUUCACCAAAAUAGUCCUCGAAAACGUCUGAGUUCAUGUUUUCAUGGUAAUUUCCUGUGCGAGUCGACUCAAAGGUAAGUCUUUUUCCUUUUCCCGAAGGUACUUUAAUACCCGUAGACAGGCCUUCUAUGAAAGCUUGGCGAGCACUGGUUAUAUUUUUGUCUUGCCACAUUUUUUGGACUAUAUAACCUUCGUUAAUCCACGUCUCAUCAAGAUAAAAAACUUUCUUUUGCUCCCUGCGGUACUGCUUGAUACUUCUCAAGUAUUGUCGUCUCCAACAAACAAUUUCGUCGCUCUCCAGUAAAAGUGCUUUGCGGUUAUGCUUUUCCCAGGCAAAAUCCAUAUUUUUUAAAGUUUUCCAUAAAAGUUUUCUACUUAUCAACGGAAUACUGUCAUCUCGGCCAAGCUCCAUUAAAAUUUUGUCUAGGGUGGGUAUUUCCUUUUUAAAAUAAAAAGAGUGAACUUUUCUUCGAAUUAUACAUUUAGCAUUUUCAUCAAGGAAUUUUGUAGGUCGUCCUGGCUUUUGCUUGGGAGAUUCCACUUGACCUGCUACUUUUCUUUCCCGCAACAAUUUGAAAAUGGUGGACUUUCCAAUUCCCCUUAUUCGAGAACAUUUUUCAACAAUUUCUUGCACAGUAAAACUAGGGUAAUCGUGUUUUAUGCAAUCAUGUACAUUUAAAAUAAUAACUUUUUCACUCAGCGAUGGUGGAGAAUUUUUAGUACAUCUUUUCGUUGGACUGAAUACCUCCAUUUUUUAAAUAUUGGGAUAAUAAUAUUGUGAUUACACUACAGCGUAGCAGUGACUACUAACGUUUGAAAUAUGAUUUAAAAGUAUUUAUAGUCUGUAUAUAUUACCUGACCCCAUUUUUGCAUGUUACAAAGCGUUAAAAGAUAGGUACCUAUACAAAAGGAUUAAAAGUAUUUAUUUAGUAUUUAAUCUCUUUCAAAAUAAAGGCAUUUAAUCCGUGAAAAUUAAAUUCAUAAAUAUUAUAAGUACCUGCGCCUAUGAACUACCACGAAAUGUAGCCAAACAGAACGGAAUUCCCCAGUUUAUUGCUCUAUACACUUCUGAAAUAGAGUAUAGCAAUGAUUACUUUGUAGUUAUUUGAUUAUUUUACAUCACUAGUUUGGUAUACAGGGUGUUUUUUAGAUAUUGCGACAAAAUUCAGGAACGUGUUUUUUGGACAAAAAUAAGAAAAAAAGUUCCUAUAAACAUAGGUCCUAAACAAAAAAAAAAUAAAUUUACAUUAAAUUAUAGCGAUCAGUCAAAGUAGAAAAAUGUUUUUUAAUUUUUUGUGCGAAAACCGUGCAUCUAACGGACAAAGUCCAAGGGAUCAAAAAUGUUGCAAAUAAAACGGGGAAUUUAAAAAUAUUUUUUAAUACAAGAAAAACCAGUGGCGUACCAUUUUUCUUUAUAAAAGUAUUCAGCGAAAAACCCGCACACACGCCACUGGAGAACAUAAAAAUGUUAAAAGUAUGUUGGUAAAUGGCUCUGGAUACACAGACCCUUGAAUCCAAACAAUGCUUGAAUCUUUUGUUCAAUCAUUAUUAUCUACAGAAAGUACCAUAGAAUUCGGAAUAUAUUUUAAAACAUAUUAUAUCAAUAAUAUGGAGUCUUGGGCUUACUGUUUUCGGCUUAAUGCUGGACUCAAUACAAAUAUGCAUUUGGAGCGAAUGCACCGAACUAUAAAAUACUUAUACUAGGGGCAUCUCAAUAUUAAAAUGAAACUUAUUUCAUUUUAGCAAAUUUUUAUUUUAAAAACGUUUUAAAUGUUAUCUAUAAUAAAAAAAUAACCGUUUUCCUUCUGUCUAAUAAAUUGGCCAAAAAUUUGGUUCUUAUCCAAAUAAGUUACUCGAACUUUGCUAAUAACAUUUAAAAUGAUUUUCUAACGAAAGUAAUUUAAUACAUUAUUAAAUAAAUAAAAUUCUCCUCGGCAGACACACAGAAUAAACUAUAUAAAAUCAGCCUGUUCUUCUUCACGCGUGCGCAAGCAAAAGUGCAUUGUGGCUCCCGAGCUUCUAGUCAAAUAUUGAGUGAGUUGAGAAUGUUGGGAUUAAUUCCAAGUAAGUCUGAGAUCUCAAACUGCCAAAAUGCAAGUCUAAACAAGAUUGCAUUGCAUCAGUUUGCAUCCCUCAGAGAAAUAUUUGGGAUUGGGACCUUACUUCACCUAAAUUAUAUUUACACUUUUGAAAUGAAAUAUUUUCUGAAUAAGCGAAAAAUGAGCAAAAAAAGAAUGGCUCAUUCAAACGAUCUGCUCAAAUCGUUCUAGGCGGAGUGGGAACUUGAUCCCGAAUGUGGAUCGGGUCCGAAUGAAGUUACGACAUACGAUACGUGCCGUGCGUUUACUGCCUUCUGUUAUUUAUGUUCUGUGCUUCCUAACCUCAAAUUAAAAUGUAAAAUAAAAAAAAAAGAGAACCUAAACUUUUUAUUGACUAAUAUUACGUUUUCUGCUGAUUGUAAACCAAAAUGAAUCAAAAUGAGUGUGUACGAUGUGAAAGAACUUAUAGUUCCGUAUCAAAUUUAAGAAAACACUUAAAAAAAUUUCAUUCGAAAGAAGAAUCUCAAAAAAAACCUCGUUAACUCCUUUAAAGUAUAAUAAAAAUUCUGAUUUUUCCAAUAUAAGAUGUAGUGUGUGUAAAAAAACUUUUACUCAUAAAAAAAGUUUAAGGAGGCAUGUCAAAAUACAACAUGAGCAAAAGGAGAAUAACAUAUUACAAAAAAAAACCUAAAAGACCCAAAAAAAUGUUCCUUAUGCCAUUAUACUGUGAAUGUGAUUAUUUCUAGUGAAAAUCGAAACUGAAACAAAUACAAAAUAUAUUAAAAAGACGCAAGCAGAAUCAUUUCAGUCUCAUACCUCUAUUUGUUAUGUUUGUCAUCGCUCUGGAAACUAUUUUCCUAAAGGAAAAGGAAAGCGAACCCUUAAGACACAAGGAUCCAAUAAAAUAAAUGCUUAUUGGCCUUCACACAUCCAGUUAAUUAUUAAAAGUGAAGGAGAUGUAAAAGUAAAGUACCUUGAUAGUCAUGUUGGACAUAAGCUUGAUAUAUGUAGGUAUAAUUUGAUAUAGUCGGAUUUAUUUAUUUGAUAUAAAAAUGAUUAAAAAAUUACAUUAUAGGUACAAAUUUGCCACUAUCAAUUAAAAAAAUACUUAAAUUUUUUGAAAUACCUACUAAUUAUGUAACCUCAAAGUUUAAAUUUAGACAUAUCUGCCUACAUAAAUUAAAAAAAAAAUUAAGGUCACCUACAGCUAACUCAAUUGGAAAGAAAAAAUAUUGCAUCUAAGAUUGCUGCAAAAAUACCGUUUGAUAGUAUAUUGGAUGAAAUUUGAGAUUCAAUUACUGACGAAAAAUUAAAAAGAGUGAAUCUUACAACAAAAAAGACUUAUUUAACAUUGAAGCAGCAUUUAAUUUGUCUUCUUCAUCAGUUCGACAUCCGAAUGAUGCCAUUAGUGUCGAAUCUUGGGUCUUGGAGAUGCAGCGUACAGGAAAUUCUAUUUUGUUUUAUAAGCCACAGGGAAUAAUUUUGGAAGAACUACCUCAGUUAAAAAAUGAAGAUUUUGUCCUUAUUAUAAUGACACCAGCCCAGUCUGAAAUAUUUAAAAAAAAUUGGAUCUGACUGCAUAUGUUUAGAUGGAACACAUGGAAUGAAUGCUUACAACUUUGAAUUGCACACAUUACUUAUAGUUGAUGAUCUCAGAGAAGGAUUUCCUUGUGCUUUCCUCUUAUCAAAUCGGGCUGACAUAGUUGUGACUACCUUAUUCUUUAAUGAGAUAUUAAAACGAGUUGGAAUAAUAACACCAAACAUUUUUAUGUCUGACCUAACUGACAUAUACCUAUGCUUGGCUUCAAGUGAUGGGCAUUCCAAAGAAAAGAUUAUUUUGCACUUGGCACCUUGAUCGUGUAAAAUUACUAUCGUAUUUCUGAAGGGGUUGGAAAUAAUCAAGUUGCUUGUUACUAUACGACUGACUUUUAUUACGUUCAAAUCAACCAAAUCAUAUACAGCAACGUUUGCAAUAAUUAAGAAAGCAUUUUUCACCACAAUCGUGCAUGAAGGAAGAAUCUCUCCAAAAUUAAGAAUCAGGAAAAAAAAGUAAGUGAAUGCACAGUGAGCCUCAAAAAAUGGGAUUAAUGGUAGAAAAAGAGAGAUUUAGCUCACAAAAUUUUAAUGGCCAAAAACCUCUAACCCUUUAUUUUUCUAAGAUAAAGUUAUCUAUUCCUUUCUAGUGGAAAAAAAUUUCUUUAACAGCUAAUUAAUAUUCUUUGUGGCAGGUUUUAAUAUACAAAGAACUAAGAACAUUACUUCAGGAAAGAGAUUCCGUAGCAUUUGAAAGAAUGUUACAAAAUUAUUGCAAUAACAUGUCUGAUCCAGAAACAGUGGAUUUUAAAAGCUAUUUCAAAGAAAACUAUCAAAAUAAUACCAAAUACUGGGCUUAGUGCUAUAGAUUACAUUCGGGCUUGAAUACGAACAUACAUUUAGAAAGAAUGCAUAAAACCAUUAAAUAUAUUUAUCUUGGAACAAAAAAAGUGAAAAGAUUUGAUAAAGGAAUUGGAGCUCUCAUGAGAUUUGUAAGAGAUAAACUUAUUGAUAGACUAACAGUUGCAAACAAAGGAAAAAUUUCUAGCAAGUUAAAAACUAUUCGAGACCGACAUGAUAAAAGUACAAAAAUGGACCACAAUGUGGUUGUUUCCACAGAGCAUGGAUGGGACAUCCCAUCAGAACAUAGAAGGGAAAUCUACUUCAUUCAAGAAAUUAACAUCUCUUGUAAAUGUCAGCUUUUAUGUUCAAAAUGCAAUGUAUGUCUUCAUAGAUAUUAUUGUAGUUGCCAAGACUCCGCAAUACAGUUGAAUAUGUGUAAGCAUAUCCACCUACUUGCCACAUUUAGAAGUUCCAAUGAAAUAGUAGAUAACGUACAUCAGAUAACUUUGAUACAGACUACUGAUAUUUACUGUUAAUUAAAAUUAAUAUUAUGUACACGAAUCUCCACCUAAAUUAUGUAUUGACAACUCUGAUGGAAAUGAGAAAUCGGAUGUAAUUCUUCAACAGUUAUCCACGAAACCAAAACGACAAAAGUGUGUCAGUGCACGAAAGGCAACAAAAACUGGCAAUGCAGUUUCAAGAUAUUUUAAAUUCUGCUAAUACUGACCAAAAGUUGGAUGUUGUUGAAAGAGUUCUCAAUUCUCUCCUGCCCACCCUAGAAGCUUUAGACCACAACACCAUGGCUUUUCCAUCAACUAAACACAUUGUGCAUAAUGAAAAAAUCACACCACAGUGAAGAUUUUCGUCCACAAAGAAAAAACAAAAAAAAAAGUCUGCAAUAAAGGGAUCUCUUUACAGGAAUCAGAUACUAUUGCGGUUGAAUUAUUAUUGGAUGUAAAGAAAUAAAACUGUUUUUU